CCUGUGCAUGCAUACACACACACACACACACACACACACACGUUGAGAUUAUCUCUUGGUGCUGAUGUGCCGCACUCUGGUAGGCAGAAUGAUGUCCCCCAAAGAUGCCCAUGGUCUUAUCCCCAAGGCAAAAGGGACUUUGCAGAUGUGGUUCAGUUAAGGACCUUGAGAACGGGAGAUUAUUUUGGAUUACAUGAGCGGGCCCAAUCGAACUCCGGGAGCACUUCAAGUAGAGAGCUGUCUCAGCCUGGAAACAGAAGAGGAACGCAAGGGGAGACGUCCGUGAGAUUCCAAGCAUGGGAAGGGAUUUGAUGCUCCACCCUUGUUCUGGGAUGUCAGGAAUCACGUGAAAGACCUAGACAGGGGCUUUUAGGAGCUAACGGUGGUGACCCCUGGCUAACCACCAGCAAGGAAAUGGGGACCUCGGUCCCACACCGAAGAAACCAGAUUCUGCCAACAAACUGACUAAGCUUGGAAGCGGACUGUUCCCCAGAGCCUUCAGCAAGGAACUCAGCCCUGCCAACUUUUAAUAUCACCCCCGAGAGAGACUCUUAAGCAGGGAACACAGCCGAGGCGCACCGUGCCGGACUUCUGACCGACAGAACUGGGAGAUAGGAAAUUCGAGUUGUUGGAAAACGCCGUCUGGGCUCAUUGGUUGUGGCAGCAAUGAAAUCCGAUGUUCUGAGUUGCCCUCCUCACUGCCUGCUGAUACUCUCCACACCACUCAUAUUGCCCUGCCUGUGACCCCCCAGGAACAGGUGUUCUCUCAAGCGUCUCGGGUUUGACCGCGAUGCAUGGAAUACUUUUCCAUUGUGUCUCUUCUCUCCAAGACGUAGCCACUAAUCCUCAUUUCUGACCCUGCCCACCCACCAAAGCCUGACUGCUAACUCCAUGAAGGCUCAGUCCAAACUUUAUGUGCUCCAGUAUCCCUGGCCUUUGCGUGUGAUCCUAUCAUUUCCUGUUCACUUGCCUGUCUCUUCGAGAAGGCCUUGGAACACGGCAUUAAAUUAAUGAAAUAAGGAGGCCAUAGUACUGAGGGGGCCCCAAUGCCUUACCACCCCAUGUAAGCAAACCAAAAUCUAAUCCUGUACAUGCCUCAAGGUCACAAAAUCAAAACUUCAAGACAAUCAAUCACUAGCAGCUAAGUAGGCUUUAAACUAUGGCCGAUCAAUAAUUUCCCUGCUUUGGUGCCUGUCUUUUCUCCAUUAAGUGUCUCUUCAGCUCCUGUAGGUGGAAAGCUCCUAACCACUUCCAGAUUGUUGCUGCCUGAGAUGAACUGAUUUUUGCACAGAUGAACUCUGAACCAUUUUUAAUAUGAACAUGCUUCUGUUUGUCUGUUAACGAAGGACAGUAUCUUAUUCAUGUUUUCCUCUUUAGUAUGACUCCAGCAUAGAAAAGGUCAGUAGCAAUUGUGCAGAAUUGAUGAACCGAGGCUUACAUUAUGGGAUUGAGCCUCAAAAAGAUAUGUGGUCUGGAAAUGAAGGUCUGGGGUCCCUCGAUACAGAGGUGCCCCUCGAUGAAGACGGAUAGCACAGCUCACCCAAACACAGAGGACGAUGAUAAUGUAUUUGAAAAUUCUUUCCCAAAGUAGUUCUGAGUCCCUGCAGGUUUGGUCAGGAGACCGAAAACAAAAUGUCCUUAGGUGGUUCUGAGUUGCUUAUUAGACUUUUUUUUCCUCAUCCACAGAGAGACAAGAGAAUUGAAAUCAGGGCUCCGUAGAGGGGGAAGGGGAUUUUCUAAACUCCAAAAGCUUUCCAUAUCAAGAGCGGUGCUUUAAGUCUGAGCAUAUAGUUUUAACAUAAGUCACAGCAGAGCCGGUAUGGAGACAUUUUGGAGACUUGUCUUAUGUCUGAAUAAAAGAAGGGAGUUCAACCGAGGUGUGGUGAGCCCCAAACCCAUGCUUUCUCCCACUAUCUCACACUGUCUGGAAAGACUUUACUGCUUCUGGGAGUAAUGAUUUCCCUGUCACUGGCCACAUGCAAACAGCCUUAAAGUCCUCUUGGCUGUAGUGAUGGAGGGGAGAUUUGCAUGUGAACAAGCAACUCUCCAGGUGACCCUUCGAGUAAAGUCUAAGCCUUAAAAUCUAUAGUGCUACGACAUUGUUGGUUUUCUUAUUUAUAAAUGAGUUCCAAAUGUUGAAACUACCUCAUAUUUAAGUUGAGCUGAAUUCUGAUACACUAUGGAUAAUUCAAUCAUCCAUGCAACUAACAGGGAAAAGAGAUUAGACACAAGAAUUGUUUGAGGGGCACCUGAGUGGCUCAGUCGGUUAAGUGGUCGACUCUUGAUUUCGGCUCAGGUCAUGAUCUCACGGUUGGUGAGUUCAAGUCCCCCAUCAGGAUCCUCUCUGACAGUGUGGAGCCUGUUUGGGGUUCCCUCUCUCCUUCUUUCUCUCUCUCUGCCCUUACCCGCUCUCUCAUUCUCUCUCUCUCAGAAUAAAUAAUUAAACUUAAAGAAAAAAAGAAUUGUUUGUAAUGAGCAGGAAUUUAAUUCAAAGCAACAAAUGGCUUUUGUGAUUACUCCUUCCUCAAUAAAGAGAAUGAUGGGGGGGGCGCCUGGGUGGCGCAGUCGGUUAAGCGUCCGACUUCAGCCAGGUCACGAUCUCGCGGUCCGUGAGUUCGAGCCCCGCGUCGGGCUCUGUGCUGACAGCUCAGAGCCCGGAGCCUGUUNNNNNNNNNNNNNNNNNNNNNNNNNNNNNNNNNNNNNNNNNNNNNNNNNNNNNNNNNNNNNNNNNNNNNNNNNNNNNNNNNNNNNNNNNNNNNNNNNNNNNNNNNNNNNNNNNNNNNNNNNNNNNNNNNNNNNNNNNNNNNNNNNNNNNNNNNNNNNNNNNNNNNNNNNNNNNNNNNNNNNNNNNNNNNNNNNNNNNNNNNNNNNNNNNNNNNNNNNNNNNNNNNNNNNNNNNNNNNNNNNNNNNNNNNNNNNNNNNNNNNNNNNNNNNNNNNNNNNNNNNNNNNNNNNNNNNNNNNNNNNNNNNNNNNNNNNNNNNNNNNNNNNNNNNNNNNNNNNNNNNNNNNNNNNNNNNNNNNNNNNNNNNNNNNNNNNNNNNNNNNNNNNNNNNNNNNNNNNNNNNNNNNNNNNNNNNNNNNNNNNNNNNNNNNNNNNNNNNNNNNNNNNUUUUUUUUUUAAUAAAAUAAAAAAAAAUAAAGAGAAUGAAAUUUGGGCGUGAACAUAUCACAUGCAUUGGAAUUCUGUAUAGCUAUUUAAAUAAUAAAUUGUAUAUGUGAUUUUAUAUAUGUAUAAAAGAUAUAUUCUAUUUUAUGUAACAUAAUAUAUAUUAUUAUAAAUAUAUAUACAAUAUUUUAUGUGUGUAUGAUCAAUAUACUUACACAAUGAAAUAUCUAUGCUCAACAUGAAACAAGCAAGUUGAAAAGUAGUAUGUGAGGCAUAAUUCUGGUUUUUGGUUUUGGUUUUUUGUUUUCUUUUGUCUUGGUUUUUGAGACAGAGAGAAAGAGAGAGGAGGAGGAGAGGGACAGAGGGGGAGACAGAGAGAGAGAGAGAGAGAGAGAGAGAGAGAAUCUUAAGCAGCCUCCAUGCUUAGUGCAGAGCCCAAUGCAAGGUUCAAUGCCACGAACGCGAGAUCAUGACCUGAGCCGAAAUCAAAAGUCAGAUGCUGAACUGACUGAGCCACCAAGGCGCCCCCGUAACUCGUUUUUUAAUUUAAAGUUAUCUCUCAUUAUAUAGAACAUCAAUAGAAAACCUGGAAGGAUGCAUGCCUGGAACAAAUAGUCAGCUGAAGUGUGGUUAUUUCGGAAAAGUGGGAGCAGAGUAGGAAAUAGGAAUUGUUUUCAUUUACACUUUUUCUAUUUAUAUUAUUUACAUAUGUAAAACCAAAUUGCAUUUGGAGCCAUGAGCUAUCGAUGUUCUAAUUUUAUUUUAUUUUUUCUUAAUAAAAAUGCGUGUCCUCAGCUUGCAUAGCUGGUUGACUUCCAGGAGAAGCAAAAGUCAUGAUGAAAGUCUCCCACACGCCAGGUCUGCAGACUCCUUAGGGUGGCUCCGUGAUCGCUCCCUGGGGCCACUCCCCGCGCUUCAGGUCCCCAACCCUUUUGUCACAGAUCCCCCAAGUUUCACAGGACGAGGAUGCUCGUGAUUCAUGGGUCUGUCGGGUCUCAGCUCCACAUCUUACGCAAGAGCUGUGCAGACACAGAACAGGCAAUUUCCACAAAAACAAAAACACGAAGGAUGGCAGGCAGGCCCAGGAGACACCCAGCAGUGGUCCGGGGACCCCAGGACAGCCUGGGGCAUGCAAACUGUGAGGGCAGGCUUGCUUCUGUGUGCCGGGCCCUGGACGGGAGAGUCUAUUUGAAUUAAAGAGGACAGAGGCUGAAGGUAACGUGCUUGGAGACAAGGGGACAAACGAAGCCGGCCGCUGGUGGGGAGCAUAAUUCAGUCUAGCAGGUGUUGUUGUUUCCCGCCCCCCAACUCAGGCAAGACAGUCUGGAAGGUGUUCAAACUCUGUAAGGAGACACCGUGAACGAAACAAACAGAAAACCGGCAAGCGUUGAAGGACGAGGGUGCUUUCUCAUCGAGGUCUACCCCAGGAAAAUACUUGUCAGUACCCAAAAGGGCAAAGGGAAAACCCUUAAUGGUGCUUUCCUUUGUGCUGCCGGACGUCGCCUUCAGACUGCGAUUUAUCUCUGGGACAUAGGGGGUUGUUCAUGGGGACCUGGGGAAGCACUCGCUGUGCCUAUCUGUUGGGGCUCACCUGCAGGGGGACAGGACACGAUGAACUGUGGCUUGGCAGGGCACCUGGGCUUUACAUCGGGCCCAGCUACAGACCACAGAGGGGGCCCCCCUGGUUAUGACAUGCUUUGCCCUGGGAACUCUGACGAGGGGUGGAGUUUUCAAAUUAUUUUCAAAGGCUAUGAAGGAAGCGACCAAUGUAUUCCAGGACUGUCAGAGAAGAGCUCUCUCUUUCUUUACCCAAACAAUCCUCUUUUCUCUUAUGAGCCUCAAAAUCAAAGGUGGGGGGGGGAGAUGCCUUACUUCAAACAUGUUUUGGAAGUUAGAUUCUUUGCUGUUGUUGUUGUUGAGAGAAAAAUAGCGAUGGCUCCCUGAACGAUCUCUACCACUAAUUAACCCACAGUGUUUCUAGACUACGGCAUACUAAAGAAAUCUGGAGUAGCAGGAAGGGAAUGGGGCAAAUGAGAGAGACGUUCCAGCAGGAAGCUAAAGAGGGAAGAUGGUUUGCGCCAUCCAAGGCAUGAGGACUAAUAAUAUGCACAAACCGGAAACGGUUAACUUUGCCGGAAGGAAUCCCCCUACUUCCCUCUCUACCUCCCCACCUCCUGCAGCCCAACACCUGCCCCUCCAGGCCCCCAUGCUCUUGGCCUGUGAACUUCUAGCCGGCUGUGCUGGCCCCAGACUACGAAGGCAUUGUACACCCACUGCCACAUGUUCGGUUACUUGUCCCAGAGGUACUCUUGGUUAAGUCUGACCUUCUGGAGAACAUUCUGGGGGCCAUAUGAGCUCUGCUGUGUGAUGCUUUCCUUCACAACCCCCUUCAUCCCAUCUUACAGACAAGAAGCCUACCUUUCCCCUGUUCCUGUGAUUUGCACAAGGAGCCUGGCCCUGGAGUACAUCCUAGGGUGGCAAGUCUCCCUGGUGGAGUCUGGGUUGAGAAAGUAAAUGCCCUUUUGCAAGGCUGGCGGCCUCCACAUCCCUCCUUUCAAUGAGGUAGAAGGAGCCUUUGUAGUUCUAGCUGACCAAUCCUCGAAAAAUAAACAAUGUAUUUCAUGAUAGAGCACAGACGUUUUGGGCAUAUUAUUAAAGACUGUGACACUGCUGUUAAAACAACUUUCAUGACCUUUUGCUUCCUAAUUUGAACAAGUUUACUCAGCUCUUAAAUCUCCAAAAACCAGAAAAUGGAACAAGAAUUGGUGUGGAACUCUAAGUCUACAUCAGUAAUAAGUAAUAUUCAUGAAUAGAGACAAGAAGACAUGGGAAACAGGUUUCCAUUUAUACAAUUAAAAUGCAUGCCUGAUAACAUCAUGAUAUUUGUCAAAACAGGCUCUAUUUUUAAGCAACCGCGUUUUGAAAGAAAAGAAUAAUCAACCCAGAGGAAUUUUAAUACUUAUAUCUUUAUGCUGGUGGUUACAGCUUGAAUUGGCCAAACAACACCCCCGAUGAAGUGAGGGAGAGACAGGCUAUAAACAAAUAAACAAGAAAAUAUCUGGGUACUAUGCAGAGAAUUAAAACAGGCUAGCACGAUCAACCCAAAUGGGGUGUCUCUUUUAGACGGGUCCGGGAAGGUUUCUUGGAAGAAGAUGUUAAGCAAAGAUCUGAACCACAAGAAGGAGACCACUGGCCGACCAUGAGGGGAAAGAACGUUCCAGGUAGAGGUAACAGCUAACUCAGCUGUAGGCAGAUAGCAAGGUUGGUGGGUUGGAGAUAAGGGCAUUAAAGAUGGCCAGGGUAGGAAGAGUGGUAGGUUAGGUGGAGGUCAGGGAAGAUCAUAGUGGGCAUGAUGAGUCAGGGCAAGGGGUUGGAUAUUAUUCUGAUUGGGGUGGGUGGCCUUGGGCAGCAACUUAAGCAUAUAAGUAAAUUAAUUUAAUCCAGGAUUAUUUUUUAUUUGUUAUUAUUUUUAAUUAAAAAACUUUAAUGUUUAUUUUUCAGAGAGAGACAUGGCAUGAGUGGGGGAGGGGCAGAGAGAAAGAGAGAGAGAGAGAGAGACAGAGUCGAAGCAGGCUCCAGGCUCUGAGCUGUCGGCAUAGAGCCAGAUGCGGGGCUCAAACCCACCAACUGUGAGAUCAUGACCUGAGCCGAAAUCAGAUGCUUAGCCAACUGAGCCACCCAGGCGCUCCUAGAAUUAUUUUUUAAAAGACUGCUCUGGCUUCUGGGUUCCAGAAUCAAUUAUGAGGACAUGGCCAUUAAAAAAAUAGUCAUUAGGGAGCGGGCUGGAGUCUCUGUCCACAGUGACAAGCACAAGGCAAGAGCCCGUGUACAGAUGUGGUAUUUUCGAGAAUUGGGUGGAAGGAAGAGACAGAAAUCUGAAUUGCUUUAUUUUUCAAGGAAAGAAGUAUCUGAUCUUUUUUACAUGAAUUUUUAAUAUAAAACAGGAGGCGCCACAUGGGCUUUUCACUUAAGAAGGACAUUUGGAAUUCUCUGUUCAACAGAGAAUAUAAAUACCACGAGGGACAUUGACCGUGAGAAAGAGGCUCUAAGUUACCUUGUACCUAUUUUGUUUGUUCCUUGGUUUUGAUUAUGAUGGAUUAGACAUAUUGAUUUCACAUCAACAGAGUAAAAUGUAGGUAGAGUUUUAAAAUUCCACAGUAGGAAAUAGUCACAAAUUCAGGGUUUUAAAGCAAUACUGAGACACUUUAACGAAAUCUUCCAGUGGCUUCUCCCGGAUUACCUCCUUCUGAAUUGCCUCCGUGUACCUUUAUGGAAUACAUUUCAAGCCUAAAAUCGACUUUCAAUCAAGAGCUGCUCUGUGUCUCAUAUUUUUCAAACCAACCGUUCUGAAAGAAUCCCUCCCUGUUCCCAGAACAUAUAGGAGCCCACAUCUCAGUAAAGCAGCGAUGAAAAAUGGUCUCCGGUGACCCGCGGAGUAAUUAUAACACACAGAUUAGCAGAGGAAGUGUCCCCAGGCGGGAAACAUUGGUGGGGAGCAGACCCAAGUCCUCAAUACUCCGAUGCUUAUGAAACACAGAGUUUUAUCGAGGAAGUGGGGAAUCAAACUUAAUUUUUCUUGUAAAUAAAGUUUCAUAAUGAAAUAUCCCAAGAGCGGUCCCUCUGGCAGCUGUUAGCUUUGGUGUGCUGAAUUGCAAUUAGCCCAGUGCAAAAUCUUAAUAGUCGCCUUCAGAUUAAUUAACUCCAUGGUGAUACCUGGGUGCUUGGCCAUAUAUAACGCACACACCCCUAUUUUACAAAGGUGAAGUCUUUCACUACCUGUGGCGAUCCCCCAAAUUGCAAGAGUCCUUGGCUCUCACAGCGGUGUUUAAGGGUUCACGUAUGUGGGACGCGCAGAAAGACGGAGCAUUAAUCGAGCCCUGGGAAGUAAGGAUUCUUUACAAAUUUCAUUUAUUUGUACCUUCUGGGAAAACGGGUGAGAAGAUUUUGUUACCCCAUUUUACUGGCGGAAAACGUUCAGGCUUAAAAAGAUUCUCAUUUAUCACACAUUCCUUCUCAUCUUAGAAUCUCUGUAACGAGUGACUCACCUAUAAAUAAAUGCUUCUAGUGUUCUGUGCCCUCAAUCCUGCAAUCCUUACCGCCACACUUAUCCUUCCAGGAAACAACAAAAACAAACAACAAAAUAAAACUGAUGUUACUCAGGAGGCAUCCUCUCAGCAAUUUGGAGCUUCUGGAGAGACAGAGGAAAGGAAACAAGGCUUUUCGAGAAGCAGCACCAGCUCUGGAGUGGCCCAGCCAGAAAGUUCUCCAACCCCCCAGCCUAUCAAAACGAAAAAUCUUCCCGCCUUUGGCCCUGAGAUUUUUAUUUCCCUUAAUUUUGUUGUUCAGCGUCCAGGUCAUGUAAAUUUCACAGUUUCCUCCAUAACAAAGCCAUGUUUCUUUUUAGAAACGUAUAUUCGCGUACAUCCUCCUCCAAAGGGCAAACAAGCAAGCAAACUUCCUCUUUCUCUUCAACCCGCUGAGGCACAACACAUCACCCUAGAACAUUCUCUGGGACUGCCUUACCCCCUUGCCUUCCCGCCCCUUUUCCCAAACUCUUAUUUCCCCAGACUGAAAAGCAGAGAUCUGGGUAGAAGAUCUUUCAGCUUAGAAGAUUUUAAAGAGUAAUGCUCAUAUUUGUCAGAAAUCGUCAUUUAAGAACGAGUCGUUGUGGUACCGUGGAAUGUUAACUUCAAAAUUAUCUUCCCCCAGUGUUUUCUAGACUCACAUUUUUAUAAACAUUUGAUUAGUUGGAUAGCUCCAUAAAAAAUAAUUCAUUAUAUUUGCCCAGUGCUCGAGGAUUUAAGAAUUCUGGUCAUAUUUUCUACUGAAGUUUAUCUACGUAACUCGAUCAUCUAGACAGAAUUAUCUUUUAAAAGUGUAGCAAAGCAAAGUCAAACCUAUUUGCAAAACAUAAAAGUAAAACCAGAUGAACUUUCCCAAAGCAUUACUAAUUAUUGUUGGGGAUGGGUGGGAAGUUUAAAGCAAUUUGAAAACUUCUAAUAAUUAGACUAGAUUGUAGAAUUAUUUUUAACUAACUAGUAUUUUAAAAAGCAUGAAAGUUGUCUUUAUAAAGUGAAAUGCACACACUACUGUGUUAGAAAAAAUUAGCAGGCUGGGGUCACCUGGCUGGCUCAGUCUGUAGAGCAUGUAACUUGAUCUCUGGGUUGUGAGUUCGAGCCCAACAUUGGGCAUAAAGCUCAGUCAAAUAUAUAUAUAUUAUAUAUAUUUUAUAUAUAUUAUAUAUAAAUUAUAUAUUUUAUAUAAUAUAUUAUAAUAUUUUAUNNNNNNNNNNNNNNNNNNNNNNNNNNNNNNNNNNNNNNNNNNNNNNNNNNNNNNNNNNNNNNNNNNNNNNNNNNNNNNNNNNNNNNNNNNNNNNNNNNNNNNNNNNNNNNNNNNNNNNNNNNNNNNNNNNNNNNNNNNNNNNNNNNNNNNNNNNNNNNNNNNNNNNNNNNNNNNNNNNNNNNNNNNNNNNNNNNNNNNNNNNNNNNNNNNNNNNNNNNNNNNNNNNNNNNNNNNNNNNNNNNNNNNNNNNNNNNNNNNNNNNNNNNNNNNNNNNNNNNNNNNNNNNNNNNNNNNNNNNNNNNNNNNNNNNNNNNNNNNNNNNNNNNNNNNNNNNNNNNNNNNNNNNNNNNNNNNNNNNNNNNNNNNNNNNNNNNNNNNUAUAAUAUAUAUUAUUAUAUUAUAAUAUAUAUUAUAUAUUUAUAUAUUAUAUAUAUUUAUAAUAUUUAUACGUAUAUUUAUAUAAUAUGUAUUUAUAUAUAUAUAAUCAGGCUCACUUAUGAAAAGAAUCACUGUAUAUACAUACAGAUGCAUACAUACCUCUCUCUCUCUUUUUUUUUUUAUGUUGAUUUAUUUUCGAGAGAGAGACAGACAGAGUGUGAGGCAGGCUCCAGGCACAGAGCCCGGCAUGGGACUUGAACUCACGGACCAUGAGAUCAUGACCUGAGCUGAAGUCAGAUGCUCAACCAACUGAGCCACUCAGCCACCCCAUACAUACCUUUCUCUUUAGGAAAGCAUCACAUUGAACACAAAUGCAGACUUGUGAGACAUUAAGAAAACUCUAGCUAAGACAUUAUUUGCCAUGAUGGCAAUAAGAAAUAUGUGAUUGCUGAGAUCAAAAUGUAUAAAACGUAUGGAAUUGAAUUUAUUCUCUUUGUAAUAUACAAUAUUUGGAAUCAGAGUAAUGGUCAGAUGACAGAACACGCUACAUUUAAGAAAGUAUAGGUAGAGGGACACCUGAUGGCUCAGUCAGUUGAGCAUCCAACUUCAGCAGAGGUAGUGAUCUUGAGGUUCAUGGGUUUGAGCCUUGCAUGGGGCUCUGUUGACAGCUGAGAGCCUGGAACCUGCUUCAGAUUCUGUGUCUUCCUCUCUCUUUCUGCCCCUCCCUUGCUUGUGCUCUCUGUCUCUCUCUCUCAAAAAUAAAUAAACUUAAAAAAAAAGAAAGUAUAGGUAGAGAGACAAGGGGGAGAAUGGAAAAACAGAGGAGGGAUAAGAGGUAGUGUUAACAGAGCUUCUCAAACUUCGGCAAGCAGCCGAAUUAACAAACAGCUUAUGAAAAUAUGAAUUGCUGGGUCCCACCGCCCCAAAGAUUUCACUUUGGUAAUUUUUUUUCUUGAGACUCGAGAAUUUGUACUUAUAAGUUCCUGGGUGAUAUUGAUGCCGCUGGCCUAGGACAACACUCUGAGGACCCCUGGUACAGAACGGCUAGGAACAUUUCUGCAAAGUCGACACCCGGCUACCAUGAGGUGUGGAGAAAUAGAUUCCUCUGCUUCUGUGACUAUAAAACUGCUUACUUAGGUUUCUUUCAAAUGAAAAUAUGUAAUUCCCCAAUAUGCUAGAAUCAUCUUGACACUGUUUCUUUUUUUUUUUAAUUUUUUUUAUGUUUAUUUAUUUUUGAGACAGAGAGAGAUAGAGCAUGAGCAGGGGAGGGGCAGAGAGAGAGGGAGGCACAGAAUCCGAAGCAGCUCCAGGCUCUGAGCUGUCAGCACAGAGCCCGACGUGGGGCUCGAACUCAUGGAUGGAGAGAUGGUGACCUGAGCCGAAGUCGGAUGCUUCACCGACUGAGCCACCCAGCACCCCUUGACACUGUUUCUUUUUUGUUUAUUCUCACGCUCUCAAACAAGUGUCUGCGAAGACUUAUGUCACUGAAGAUAGAUCCUCAGCUCAUCAUCAACUACCCUAGGUGUCGUAAGGGCUGACAUUCAGAGACGCAGGAAUGCUUAUUUCACGACAAAUGCCUUUGGUUCUGAUUUUCAGGUAACUGUGUUUACUUGUACGAUGAACCCCACCUCAGGUGUUUGGUCGGGCUGGAUCGUAUGAACAUUCUAAAACUAAUUCCAGUUCUGGAUCAUGCCAUUGCAAUGACGUCCAUUGAUCUGCUCAGGGUUGCUUUCUCGUGAGUCACUCACUAGGGCAGAAGGGAUGGCAUUCUUGCUCUCUUCCAACCAGGUAACUGCUACACGGGAAGGGAGACUUAAAAGGAUCGUGGGGGACCAAGUUCUGUCAGGUUCUCUGGAUGCAUAUGAGAAAGGAUUUAUAUGUAAGUGGCUUAUGAAAGCCCCCAGGAGAAUCUGGUGCAGAAAUGGAGGAGGCAGGAGAGAAAAUGAAAAAAGGCAGCCCAGGGAAGGGAAAAAUAGGAUUUCAGGCAAAGUUCCCAUGAUAACCGUGUCGGCAGGAUCCUGCAGAAGAGCUCUGUGGUGUAAAUAAUUUGUUAUGGUUAUGGAGACUUGAGGCCAGACAGUUGGAUUUUCCUGCCUCUCUGGCAUCCUUCCCCCCAGGCUUGGGCCAUCCUGGGGGUUGGAGGUGGGGCUCUGGACUCCAGAAGCUUGAGUGUGGUCCCUGAGAAACAAUAAUGGGAUUCAAGGAGAUGUGGGUGGGGCACUAGUGAGUGUCCACAACGGGGUGACAACCACAGAGUCUGCCAUCAAAGUCGACCAAUUUUUUUUUUUAUCUUUACAACAUUUCUAAACAUGUACAAAGACAGAAAAAUGGGAUGGCGGUGGGAGAAGAUGGUUCCUGCUUUUGAAAAGCGCUGGAGUAAAUAAAAUUAAAUAGAAGACUUUUCUACGGGUCUUUUAUGAGCCUGUACUACAUAUAUGGGCAGUUUUGUGACCCACACCACAAAAUUAUUUUCAUAGGAAUAUCUCUUGGGCGGCAUUCUGUGAGAUACAGUUUGAGAAAGGCUACUGUGGCCAAGAGGCUGUUACAGGCUUUUAAGGUGACAUAUUCCAACCCGGCUUUAAGGUGUGAAUUGAAAAGAGGUGCACCAGUAAAGGAGAUCACCUCAUCUCCGGCAAUGGUACAAGAAAAAUACAGUGAAAUCGUGAACUAGGCAAGCAGUAUGGGAAACACAGGAGGAAAUAAGUUUGAGUAAUUUUUUUUCCAGUUGUCUUGGGAUAUAAUUUGCGUGCCUCACCAUACAAGCUUAAGGUGUGGAGCAUAAUGAUUUGACUUACAUGUAUGGGGAGAUGAUCACCACGAUAAAUUUGGUUAAGAUCCAUCACCUCAUACAGAUACAAAAAAAAAGAGAAAGAAAUGAAAAAAGAGAAAGAAAUGUUUUUCCCUCGUGAUGAGAACUCUUAAGCUCUAACCACCUGUCGAUAUACCAUACAGUAACAUCAGCUGGAAUCAUCACGUUGUACAUUACAGCCCUAGUGUUUGUUUAUCUUACAAUUGGAAGUUUGUAGCUUUUCACCACCUUCCUCCAGUUCCCCUUCACCCACCACCUGUCCUCCGGUAGCCACAAGUCUGAUUUGCUUUUCUCUUUCUUUUAAAAAAAAUUAUUAUUUUCUUAAUUGAGAUAUAAUUGACAUACCACAUCAUAUACGUGUGAGGCACACAACAUAAUUGGUUUGUUUCGUUUGUAUAUUGCAAUAUGAUUACAACAGUUGCAUUAGCUAACGUCUUGAUCAUGCCACAUGUUUUUUUCUUCCUUGUGUUGAGAACAGUUAGGAUUGAGUCUCCUAGCAAAGUUGAAGCUUAUGAUACAGUAUUGUUGGUGGCAGUCACUAUGUUGUAAAUCAGCUCUCUAGAACUCAUUUCGCAGCUAGUUGAAAGUUUGUACCCUUAGUUUCACUCUUAUGUGGAUCCUGAGAAACUUAACAGGAACCCAUGGGGGAGAGGAAGGAAAAAAAAAAAAAAAAAAAAAGAAAGUUUGUACCCUUAAACAGUGCCUCCCCGGUGCCCCCAUAACCACCCCUCAUAACCAUCAUCCUACUCUCUGUUUUUACAGGUGUUUUAGAUUCCAUCUGUGGGUGAUACCAUAUAGUAUUUGUCUUCCUCUGACUUGUCUCACUUAGCAUGUCUUCAAAAUCCAUCCAUGUUAUUGAAAACAGUAGGCUCUCCCUCUUUCUCAUGGCUGAAUAAUAUUCCCUUGUAUAUGUAUACCACAUCCGUAUCCAUUCAUCUGUUGACAGACUUUGAUCGUUUCCAUUGGCUUAGUUAUUCUGCAUCAUGUUUCAGUGAAUAUGGGUUUGCAGAUAUAUCUUCCAGGUACUAAUUUUAAAGUUUUUUUUUUUAUAUUUAUUUUGAGGGAGACAGAGAGUGGGAGAGAGGCAGAGAGAGAGAGAGAGAGGAGAGGAAAGAGAAUCCCAAACAGGCUCCAUGCUGUCAUCACAGAGUCCUUUGUGGGUUUGAUCUCACAAACUGAACCAUGAGAUCAUGACCUGAGCGGAAACCAAGAGUUGGACCCUGAGUGACUGAGCCACCCAGGCACCCCUUCGAGAUACUGAUUUUAAUUCCUUGGGAUCCAUACCCAGGAAUAAGAUUGCUGGAUCAUACAAAAUUUGAAUAUCUUAUUGGUAGAGGCGUCAUGACUGAAAAGUGUGUGAGACGCUAAGGAAAUGGAAGAUUCUGGGAUCUGUGGCUCAAAUGACUCCAUAAUUAAAGAGGUUCUGUCAUUAUAGGACAGAACAUGUAUGAGGAGGAAGGUUAAAGUCUGAAAACUGGAGAGACGUGUGGGAGUCAACUGAAGCUAGAUUGUGGCUUCAGGAUUCAUGGGCUUUGGGGUAUGUAUUAGUCUGCUGGGGUUGUCAUAACUAAGCACCACAAGCUCGGUGGCUUAAAACUACAGAAAUUAAUUUUCUUGCGGGCUCGGAGUCUGGAAUUCCAAGAUCAAGGUGUUGGCAGAAUUGGUUUCCUGUGAGGCCUCUCUCCUUUUCUUGCAAACGGCCGCCUUCUCUCUGUGUGCUCACAUGGUCCCUCUUGUGUGUCCCUUCCUCUUCUUAUAAGAACACCAGUCCUAGACGAUUAGUCCCAGAUAACCUCAUUUAACCUUAAUUACCUCACUUAAGACCCUACCACCAAAUAUAGUCACAUUGGGGGUUAAGGCUUCAGCAUGUGAAUUUUGAGAGAACACAAUUCAGUCCUUAACAGGGUGCUCCCAAGAGCCUUAAGAACUGCAAAGCGGCCCAGACUGAGUACUGACUGAAUAUGGAACCCCGGGAACCCCCAGCCUUUGAAAGAAGAGGGGGCUAAAGUACAGGUAGUCCUCUCACUUGUCAGAACUAGUAGAUUUGAGCAGACAUGAGAACUCUGUACCUCUGUUGCCUCACCUGUAAAAAGGAACUGAUUAUUGCCCUUGUUUGUGUAGAAUUAUGAAAGCAGCAUGUUGUAUUAGGGUACAAGCAGGGGACAGAAACCACCCCACGUGUGCAAACACAAAGGUGAAUAUAAAGAAUGAGUAACAGAGAAUUGGAAUCGUGGGAGUUGGCUGUUGAGUGUUAAAGAAAAUGCUAGCACGCAGACAAGAGGACAAUCACAGCUCCGAGGGCUGAGACAGGGCACUCAAGGAAUACCUCCCCCCACCGCCAACCACCACCCAGGUUGGGACCCAGACCUGGUGGGAAGGGCACAGAGGUGAAUCAACUUGGUGGUAGAGACGGUACUCGGUUGUCUCACUGUGGGAACUUGCUGGAAAUCUGCACCCUGGGUGCUGCGGAGACUCUCCACAGGGAGAUGUCGAGUCUGAGAAUUCACUAGGUACUGCUGUAGGUAUGCUGUAGGGGUCUAGCAUGUUCUCUGGGUGAUUCAGUCCAGGAAGGCUGCGGGCCAGCUGCCUGGGAUGAAAGCCAGACACUAGAAUAUAGUAAGUACUCAGUAAAUGUUAGCUCUUGACUCCUGUACUCUUACUGGGACCCCCACUGUCACUACCUUGCACGGUAAUUAAGAGUUCGAGCUUCAGAGACUGGCGAGGGUGAGCUCACAUCCCUUGUGUGGCCCUCGUUAGCUGGGGGCCAUUGUGCAUGUCGCUUAAUCAUUCCAAGCCUCGGUUUUAUCAUCUGCGAAAUAGAAGCAAUAAUAGCAUUCACCUCCUAUGUUUGCUGUGAGCAAUAAAUAGGAAAAUAAAAGCAAAUUGCCUUACACACUACGUGGCACAUAAUACUGGCUUUUAUAAAUGUAUUUUUAAAAAUUUUAUUUGUUUUCACAAAUAUUAGGUCACUGUCCUCCUAAUGAACGUUCUUCGGCGGUAAGUGUAAAAUUGAAGGAACGCGUGUAGGGAGACAGUAAAUAAGUUGAAAAAAUGAAAGCUAAGUGGAUUUUAAUGUGAUUAAUCCCUCUUAUCUGUUUCUUGAAUCUGAAACUGUCUGGUUUAGGUACAAACUUGUAUACUGGCAUCUUCUGCAUCAUCCAGGGAAGAUCCUAACAGAAAAUAUUACUUCUCCUUUUUAGCCUUAGGGAUUAUAUUUUCAAUUACCACCUAUUUGCAGGCACGUCAUGAAAUUUCGGGAUUCACAGACCUGGUAAAUUCAUCCUGGCUGCUGUAUCAAAGGGAUUCAAUUCCAGCUCACAUAAUGGUCUAUUUCUUGGUUGAUCCAUUAUGGAUAUCUACUACAACUGAUAAACGUUCUAAUCUAAGCUCUGCUCAGCAGAGUGGAGACAAGCCCAAAAGCAGAGACAUGUCAUUGUCAAAACCAAUGAGUCUGGGUGAACUCUGUAGUCAUGGAGGCCAUUUCCUUCGAGAGGAAGUCAAGGACUCUGAUAGCAAUGUGGAAUCAGUCAACCUCAAUUACCAUUCUCUAGUUUCAUGACAGAAUCUAUUUCAGAGUCACAAUCUAUGACUACCCUGAGACAGCACUUCCUUAAAGUCCUUCAUUCUCUGCACUUUAAUUUCAUUUUCUGUAGUUAGUGCUCAUACAUGAUUGAUUUCAGUAGCGGUGAGAUUUCACCUGACCUAUCCAAAUACCCGUAAAAUUUCUUCAAGGGAAAAUAAGUCCCUAAUAUUCUGUUUUUUAAUUGCUACAGUCUACUUUUUUUUUUCAACGUUUAUUUAUUUUUGGGACAGAGAGAGACAGAGCAUGAAUGGGGGAGGGGCAGAGAGAGAGGGAGACACAGAAUCGGAAACAGGCUCCAGGCUCUGAGCCAUCAGCCCAGAGCCUGAGGCGGGGCUCGAACUCACGGACCGCGAGAUCGUGACCUGGCUGAAGUCGGACGCUUAACCGACUGCGCCACCCAGGCGCCCCUACAGUCUACUUUUUCAUAUUUGCAGCUGGUGAAUUGAAAACAAACCACGAUCUCCAGUUUACAAAAUAUUCAUCCAGACAAGGUUUAGAGUCAUUGGUAGAACCUUCACGGCAAAACAAUUACUAAAAUAAAAGUCCAAACAGAAAUAAGGUAAUUUGUUAUAAAGGGUCUACAAAGCAUGUGUAACUACUGCUUCCCUUCCAUUUCACACUGUAUCUCAAUAUCCUACAAAUGUGCGCACAUGGCUUUUAAAACAUGCAACUUUACUGUAUCAGGAGAUAAACUAAUAAGUUUUCCUGACAUGUUAAAGAUAGCUAUACGUUCUUUGAUCGUCCUUGCAUUGAGAGGUGGGGAAGUUUCGCUUCGCCUUGAAUCUGGGCUGCGUGGGACUGCUUUGUUGUCCUCGGGGCGGAGGCAGUGAUGCUGUGUGGCAGUUCAGGACUUCCCCUUUAAAAAGACUGGCAGCUUCCACGUCAAUUUCCUGGAACUUGAGCUGCCUUGUAAAAAGGCUGACUACCUCUGGAAGAAACUACCUGGGAAAGCCUGAGAAUACUUGAAAAAAAGGAGAGGCUCAGCUGAGCCCCCCCUUCCAGCCAACUCUAGCAGGGUGGUAAGCAUGGGAGUGAAGGCAUCUUGGCGUCUUCUGGUAACCUGUGCCAUCCGAUAUGGUAGCCACAGCCACAUGAAGGCAUUGAGCACUCAAACUGUCCAAAUGGGGAUGUGCUGUAAGAAUAAAAUGCACAUUGGAUUUCAAAAAAUAUAUGAAAAGACUCCGUUACUUUUUUAUAUUGAUUCCACGUUUAAAUAGUAUUUCAGGGGCGCCUGGGUGGCUCAGUCGGUUAAGCGUCCGACUUCAGCUCAGGUCAUGAUCUUGCAGUUUGUGAGUUCAAGCCCCACAUCGGGCUUUGUGGGGUCAGCUCAGAGCCUGGAACCUUCUUCGGAUUCUGUGUCUCCCUCUCUUUCUGCCCCUCCCCUGCUCAUGCUCUGUCUCUCUCUGCCUCAAAAAUAAAUAAAAACAUUAAAAAAGUUUAAAAAAAAAUAAAUAAAUAAAUAGUAUUUCAGACACAUUGGGUUCUAUAAAAUAGACUAUUAAAAUUAAUUGUGCUUAUUUAAGCUGUUUAAAUGUGGCUAUUAGAAAAUUGUAAACUAGACGCAUACAUAUGACUAGACAGCACAGCUCUAGACCAUCCCAGCUAGCAGCUGAAAACUACCAAGUGAUCCCAGUCAAUGUCACAUGAACCAGAAGAGCCGCUCAGCUGAGCCACUCCUGAAUGCUUAACCCACAGCGUCUGUGAGAUGUAAUAAGGUAGUCUUUGCAUUCAGCUACGAAGUUUUGGAGUAGUUUGUUACAAAAACAAUAGCUGACUGAAGAAGUUGUACGUGAAGACAUUAAGUAGCUCAUAGUAAUCGUGUUCAAUCUUUUAGAAUUUAGAAGGAAAUUCAGAAGACAGAAAUGUGAUUGCCCCAAGUAUCAUUUUUUUUUAAAUUAUGGUCAAUACGUUUUAAUCUAAUGCUUUAUUUUUUUUCUCUCAAUUAAAUAUUUAUAGGCUCCAAUUUAUCAAAGGUUUUUAAAAUUUUCCCCAUGAAGAAACAGGUCACACCUCUUUUUGUUAACUACUGCGGAGCACACAAAAGUAAGGACAUAAAGUGCAGAAAAUUAAGGCCAAUAUUUUAAUUACGCAUCUUCAAAUGAACAAAGCCAAAGAUCUCACUGCUUCACUUUUAGUGUCGUCAUUUGCAUUAAUGUUUGUCAGAAUCAACGGAAAUGUGAACACUCAUCAUUGUGCAGGAUUCUUUAAGUCAGAAGGACCCAGAUUUAAGUAUCAGUUCACUGUUUUCUAGCUAGGCAGUACGAAGCAAGUCAUGGAGUGUCUAUGAACCUCAGUUUUCUCGACCAUACAAUAGGACCGAUAACAAUUACCUACUGGGAUUCUGGUCGAGAUUAAAUGGCCUUAUGUACAUAAACCACUUCUCUCAGGGCCUGGCACAGAGUGACGCUCUAAAAAUGAGCACUGUAAUAAUCAUAUGCAUAGAAAUUAUACAUAAAAUAUCAAAAUAUUACGUAUUUGCUAUGGUGUAAUUAUGAUGACUCUGUAUUAUGAAAAUGUCAUAAACUUGACUACCUCUCGUUCAUCUCCUAAACGGGUAGAGGUCGGGCAUGAUUUUCACAGGGCUCACCCCAUGUGUGGCAAUGGAAGUUAGCAGACCUCUCAGAUCGUAUCCCAUCGGUCACAUAAAGAUUGAGUUACUUAACCAUAGACAAUUCUCUCCCUCGCAGUCUCUUUCUGUCUCUCUCUCAAUCUCAAGCCCCAGAUGUUUGGCAUCUCGCCAACAUCAUCCAAGACCUUCUGGACUGGGGAACAAAAUGAAUGUAGAGAAAGAGGAAGCAGUUGCAGUGAAAGCACCACAGGGAACAAACCAAUAAAAAAGCAGGAAACUCAGCACAAGCUUGAUUUAUGUCACUGCCUUUCCCUGGCUCUCUGCCGCAUUCUCCCAAACCCCCAUCACACAUGCAUCCUUACUCUAUGAGCUUGCUUUUCUUCUCAAAGUCAAGCAUUUCGUAAAAUUCCCUUGCGAUCUCACGCUCCCUCCCACCUCUCUGAAAGUGCUUCAGAAGGCCUUCCGAGGGCUCAUGGAUCCGGGACUGUGAGGCCCUCGCUUCAUUAUUUCCCUGAUGCUUCCUCUCUUUUCUCAAUGGUCAAGAAAACAUCGAUCUAUCCUCUGCGUUGUCUGUUUCUAGAGGAAAGAAGGAAAAAAAGGAAGGAAAGAAGGAGGAAGGAGGCAACCUAGAAACAGAAACACGACGGUCUUCUCCUCGUCAAUAGCUGGGGGAGUCGUAACGGUGUCGUUGGUUGUGUUUCUGUCACAAGGCAGAGCCACGUAGAAGUGACGGUCCUCUUGGUGGGGAUACAGGAGAAGCACGCUGAGAGUGGGGAAUCUGGGGACUUGAAAGGACAGGCCGAUCCGGCGGCCAAAAGUAGAUCUUGAUUAGAAAUAAAGGAAUUUUUUCUAAGAAAUUACUUCCUCAUUGUAUUUUCAUGGCCAUCCAAAAGUAAACCAAAUGGUGCGCUGAAAACUGCCCUGGAAAAGAAAGAACAGAUUGUUCGAAUCAACUCUUUCUUGAAGCAGAUUGUUGAAGACCACGCAGCCGCCAUGGGUGACGGCCACCCCCACUCCCCCACCCCCCUGCCAGCCUUCUCCAGGGUCUGGGGAUGAGAAGCAUUGAUUCAGCAGACUCCUUAGGUGCUCCUCUCACACUGGAUGUCCUGGUGCUACAUGGUCACAACGGACGCCAGCUGUAUCUGUGCUAAAAGAGCAUCUACCUCAGCUGGCAGUGAACACACACACACACACACACACUCACAAAAGCAGAGCCAUCUGCGCGACUUAACCCAAGUUAACCAGGUCACCAGCCAGGCCACAAAUUCACAUAUGCAAAGUGAGGAGGGAAAGAAUCACAGGUAUCAGCUCUCACUGUAGGUCAUGUGGUCGAGAAGGAUUUCGUGGAAGACAUGAAACUUCUCUAAGCCAAGAAAAAAAACAUUACUAGAAAGGAAUCUUGUAUGCAGCGGCUCAUUUCUGCAGAUCCAAAAUCUGUGCUUUUUAAAAGUAUACUUUAUGGGGGUAGCUGGGUAGUUGGUUAAGCGUCUGACUUCGGCUCAGGUCAUGAUCUUACGGUUCGUGGGUUUGAGACCCAUGCCGGGUUCUGUGCUGACAGCUCCGAGCCUGGAGCCUGCUUCGGAUUCUGUGUCUCCCUCUCUCUCUGCCCCUCCGCCGCUCAUGCUCUGUGUCUCUCUCUGUCAAAAAUAAACAUUAAAAAAUUUUUUAAAGUAUACUUUAUGGAGUAGAAGACCAAAUCUGAGGGCACAGCCCAUUAAUUUUGCAUUGCGGGUUUGGUGGCCUUUUAACACGUCACCUGUGCUGCCAUAAAAGAACAAUAGUACAUUAUGACAUUUAUUUAUUUAUUUAUUUAUUCAUUCAUUCACGUUUUUAAGAUAAGGUAUUGCUGGUCUGAGACGCACAGUGCCCAAGGGUUUUACAACAGUGUGCCAGGAGCAGCAACUUCCACUCUAAGCAGAAUUAAUAAAUCGAUGAAUUGUCUGCCUAACUGAGCCGUGAGUAAAAUAAUAGGCUCCUAAUAAAGAAUUAUCGAAUCAAUGAAUAACUCGAAUGCAUUGAUGGGACCGCAGCCACAGCGCUACCCGACGGACGGGCAGCGGUUUUUCUCUCGAAGGCCUGAUCAUUCCUCAACGAGCAACGUUGUUUACGUGAUCUUUGGGAGAAAACAGCACCAGCUGGGUACCUCCUCGGUGCCCACCAGGUUGCCUUCUGAGAGUCACUCUACAAACCCAGUGCGAGGCAGUGGAGGUAAAAUGCCACGGCAAGUUGAAGGGGAAGACAGGCCAGUGCAGAAUAUGAAUUUCAAACGCAUUUCUUAUUUUGCGUCUGGUCAAUAAGGACUGAAAUCUCCUGGCUUAACUCAUUGAAGGAGCAUAUUGAAACUAAAUGUCAUCUGGGUGGUUGGGAGGGGUUGGCCAAAAAGUAAGUUCUGGGAAGGAAGAGUUGUAUGAGCCAUCUUGUUGAGACUCAGGGUCAAGGGGCCCUGACCGAAGGAUUGGAUCUGCCUAGUGUAAAUGACCAGCUUAGGGGCGCCUGGGGUGGCCCCGUCGGUCAAGUGUCCGACUUCAGCUCAGGUCAUGAUCUCGUGGCUCUUGAGUUCAAGCCCUGCGUCUGGCUCUGUGCUGACAGCUCGGAGCCUGGAGCCUGCUUCGGAUUCUGUGUCUCCCUCUCUCUCUGUUCCUCCCCUGCUCACACUCUGUCUCUCAAAAAUAAACAUUAAAAAAAAUAAUUAAAUGACGGGCUUAUCCACAGUGUAUCAAGCAUUUUGUAAUAACCUGAUGCCAGCUAAUAUUCCGACCGCAUGAUCCCUUACCCCCUACUGAUCUGAGCUCACUGGGCAUGCUUACGGGUCCCUAGAGCUCAUCUAUGUCCUCAGAAGGUGCAGGCCAGAGAUCCAGCUGUUCAAUUUCCUUGGCAUCAGCUUUACCACCUCACGAGAUAGGUUGAUGUGAAUCUUUUCAGAGAAAUGAAUCCACUGUACGUGCUGACAAAAAUCCCACAGUAAUCCCUAGACCCAACACGGCGCCAGUGGGUUCCCCAGGCAGGCAGCACCUUGCGUGGCUUAUUGGUGAGCAGACAACAUUUUAUGGGAUUCAAACAGGUCUAUACUUACAAGCUAAAUUAAAACUAAAUAUCCAAACAUUAAUAAUCAUUUGAAAGUGAUGACCGACCCAGCACUCCCGGGACAAACAAGGUGUCGUGGCUGAAGUCAAGAUCGUUAGCCCGGGACUACAUGAAAAUGUGCCUCCAUUUCUUUAUUUUUCAAAUGGGGUUACAAAAACAGAUGAGCUAGGUGAGCUGCGAGGAUGAAGUGACUUAAUUUCCACAAAGCACCUAGAACAGGGACCUGGCCUGCAACAAGCAUCAUGCAAAGAUGUGCUCUUAUGAUCGACUGUUUUCUUUUAACUAGUGGAUUUUAGAAAAGAAAGUAACCAAUAAAGAAAUGAAAAGGUUUUAAAGAACACUUUAUGGUUUAUAGGACUCCGAGGUAGUGUUAAUUUAAAUUCCUCAAUAAAAAGAGUAAAGAAAAGGAAAACUUCAAGAACUGAGUUGCUAAGGUUUUCUAUGGACCUUAGAACCUUAAAAUCAAGUUCUUUAUUAUUUUUUUUUUUCAUUAAGUAGGCUCUGUGCCCAGUGAGGGACUCGAACUCACAACCUUGAUAUCAAGGGUUUCAUGCUCCACUGACUGAGACAGCCAGGGGCCCUCGAAAAUCAGUUUCAAAAAUCAUUCACCAGAUGCCGUAAUAGGUCAAAGAUCACCUGCUUAGUCCUACUUAGAUUAUUUUUCCACAUUUAUAUUCCAAUGGACAAACUCGCAUUGAGAGUUGAGUCACUUAUUAAUAAAAAUAAUGUGGGUGAGAGGAAAACACAGCCGGCUGAAUUGUCACCUGGUGAUGCAGUGAAAUGAAGGCAACUCCAGUCUGGAUAGAAGCUCUUGCUGCUGCCAAUCUGGUGAGUAUGUUUUUAGGAGGAGAGGGAAGGGGGAGAAAGCAGUGGGGGCUCAGCAGAGCCACACAGGAUUUGUAGCAGCUUUCCAGCAGCAACAGCAAAAGAAAGCAAAUACUGAUAAAACAGGGGCCAACCAGCUUUUGUUUGGAGCAGUGACCAAGGUACCAUGCGGGAAAAGGAGAACUCGAAUGCUUUUGGCCAACCACCCCACGCACCUGUUAGGUGGGUUAGGGUACGGCGGAUAAUUGGGGGCGUCACAUGGUCACUUCGACAAACAGUCGGUGAAGGAAAAUAGACCUUAUUUGAAACCGCGAUCUGUGUAUAUUUAUUAUAUAUAUUAUAGAAGUCUGAGUCCUGCUCCAGAGUGCAAAUAAAUAAUGAUAAAGGUCACAGGGCUAAAUAUAGUUUAUUCAGUAAUGGAAGGUUAGAGAAGCUUUUCAUCUUAA
rnacentral:lncRNA from 1 species